GGGUUGUGAGGUUAAGCGACUAAGCGUACACGGUGGAUGCCCUGGCAGUCAGAGGCGAUGAAGGACGUGCUAAUCUGCGAUAAGCGUCGGUAAGGUGAUAUGAACCGUUAUAACCGGCGAUUUCCGAAUGGGGAAACCCAGUGUGAUUCGUCACACUAUCAUUAACUGAAUCCAUAGGUUAAUGAGGCGAACCGGGGGAACUGAAACAUCUAAGUACCCCGAGGAAAAGAAAUCAACCGAGAUUCCCCCAGUAGCGGCGAGCGAACGGGGAGCAGCCCAGAGCCUGAAUCAGUGUGUGUGUUAGUGGAAGCGUCUGGAAAGGCGCGCGAUACAGGGUGACAGCCCCGUACACAAAAAUGCACAUACUGUGAGCUCGAUGAGUAGGGCGGGACACGUGGUAUCCUGUCUGAAUAUGGGGGGACCAUCCUCCAAGGCUAAAUACUCCUGACUGACCGAUAGUGAACCAGUACCGUGAGGGAAAGGCGAAAAGAACCCCGGCGAGGGGAGUGAAAAAGAACCUGAAACCGUGUACGUACAAGCAGUGGGAGCACAGAGCAAUCUGUGUGACUGCGUACCUUUUGUAUAAUGGGUCAGCGACUUAUAUUCUGUAGCAAGGUUAACCGAAUAGGGGAGCCGAAGGGAAACCGAGUCUUAACUGGGCGUUAAGUUGCAGGGUAUAGACCCGAAACCCGGUGAUCUAGCCAUGGGCAGGUUGAAGGUUGGGUAACACUAACUGGAGGACCGAACCGACUAAUGUUGAAAAAUUAGCGGAUGACUUGUGGCUGGGGGUGAAAGGCCAAUCAAACCGGGAGAUAGCUGGUUCUCCCCGAAAGCUAUUUAGGUAGCGCCUCGUGAAUUCAUCUCCGGGGGUAGAGCACUGUUUCGGCAAGGGGGUCAUCCCGACUUACCAACCCGAUGCAAACUGCGAAUACCGGAGAAUGUUAUCACGGGAGACACACGGCGGGUGCUAACGUCCGUCGUGAAGAGGGAAACAACCCAGACCGCCAGCUAAGGUCCCAAAGUCAUGGUUAAGUGGGAAACGAUGUGGGAAGGCCCAGACAGCCAGGAUGUUGGCUUAGAAGCAGCCAUCAUUUAAAGAAAGCGUAAUAGCUCACUGGUCGAGUCGGCCUGCGCGGAAGAUGUAACGGGGCUAAACCAUGCACCGAAGCUGCGGCAGCGACGCUUAUGCGUUGUUGGGUAGGGGAGCGUUCUGUAAGCCUGUGAAGGUGUACUGUGAGGUAUGCUGGAGGUAUCAGAAGUGCGAAUGCUGACAUAAGUAACGAUAAAGCGGGUGAAAAGCCCGCUCGCCGGAAGACCAAGGGUUCCUGUCCAACGUUAAUCGGGGCAGGGUGAGUCGACCCCUAAGGCGAGGCCGAAAGGCGUAGUCGAUGGGAAACAGGUUAAUAUUCCUGUACUUGGUGUUACUGCGAAGGGGGGACGGAGAAGGCUAUGUUGGCCGGGCGACGGUUGUCCCGGUUUAAGCGUGUAGGCUGGUUUUCCAGGCAAAUCCGGAAAAUCAAGGCUGAGGCGUGAUGACGAGGCACUACGGUGCUGAAGCAACAAAUGCCCUGCUUCCAGGAAAAGCCUCUAAGCAUCAGGUAACAUCAAAUCGUACCCCAAACCGACACAGGUGGUCAGGUAGAGAAUACCAAGGCGCUUGAGAGAACUCGGGUGAAGGAACUAGGCAAAAUGGUGCCGUAACUUCGGGAGAAGGCACGCUGAUAUGUAGGUGAAGCGACUUGCUCGUGGAGCUGAAAUCAGUCGAAGAUACCAGCUGGCUGCAACUGUUUAUUAAAAACACAGCACUGUGCAAACACGAAAGUGGACGUAUACGGUGUGACGCCUGCCCGGUGCCGGAAGGUUAAUUGAUGGGGUCAGCGCAAGCGAAGCUCUUGAUCGAAGCCCCGGUAAACGGCGGCCGUAACUAUAACGGUCCUAAGGUAGCGAAAUUCCUUGUCGGGUAAGUUCCGACCUGCACGAAUGGCGUAAUGAUGGCCAGGCUGUCUCCACCCGAGACUCAGUGAAAUUGAACUCGCUGUGAAGAUGCAGUGUACCCGCGGCAAGACGGAAAGACCCCGUGAACCUUUACUAUAGCUUGACACUGAACAUUGAGCCUUGAUGUGUAGGAUAGGUGGGAGGCUUUGAAGUGUGGACGCCAGUCUGCAUGGAGCCGACCUUGAAAUACCACCCUUUAAUGUUUGAUGUUCUAACGUUGACCCGUAAUCCGGGUUGCGGACAGUGUCUGGUGGGUAGUUUGACUGGGGCGGUCUCCUCCUAAAGAGUAACGGAGGAGCACGAAGGUUGGCUAAUCCUGGUCGGACAUCAGGAGGUUAGUGCAAUGGCAUAAGCCAGCUUGACUGCGAGCGUGACGGCGCGAGCAGGUGCGAAAGCAGGUCAUAGUGAUCCGGUGGUUCUGAAUGGAAGGGCCAUCGCUCAACGGAUAAAAGGUACUCCGGGGAUAACAGGCUGAUACCGCCCAAGAGUUCAUAUCGACGGCGGUGUUUGGCACCUCGAUGUCGGCUCAUCACAUCCUGGGGCUGAAGUAGGUCCCAAGGGUAUGGCUGUUCGCCAUUUAAAGUGGUACGCGAGCUGGGUUUAGAACGUCGUGAGACAGUUCGGUCCCUAUCUGCCGUGGGCGCUGGAGAACUGAGGGGGGCUGCUCCUAGUACGAGAGGACCGGAGUGGACGCAUCACUGGUGUUCGGGUUGUCAUGCCAAUGGCACUGCCCGGUAGCUAAAUGCGGAAGAGAUAAGUGCUGAAAGCAUCUAAGCACGAAACUUGCCCCGAGAUGAGUUCUCCCUGACUCCUUGAGAGUCCUGAAGGAACGUUGAAGACGACGACGUUGAUAGGCCGGGUGUGUAAGCGCAGCGAUGCGUUGAGCUAACCGGUACUAAUGAACCGUGAGGCUUAACCUUACAACGCCGAAG
rnacentral:rRNA from 1 species